CAGUAAGGAAUAUUGCACAAUGGGCGAAAGCCUGAUGCAGCAACGCCGCGUGCGCGAUGAAGGCCUUCGGGUUGUAAAGCGCUUUUCCGGGGGAAGAGUAAGGACGGUACCUCGGGAAUAAGUCUCGGCUAACUACGUGCCAGGCAGCCGCGGUAACACGUAGGAGACGAGCGUUAUCCGGAUUUAUUGGGCGUAAAGAGCAUGUAGGCGGGCUCUUAAGUCGGAUGUGAAAUCUCUUGGCUUAACCGGGAGGGGUCAUUCGAUACUGGGGGUCUUGAGGGCAGGAGAGGGAAGUAGAAUUCCCGGUGUAGUGGUGGAAUACGUAGAUAUCGGGAGGAAUACCAGUGGCGAAAGCGGCUUCCUGGCCUGUGCCUGACGCUGAGAUGCGAAAGCGUGGGUAGCAAACGGGAUUAGAUACCCCGGUAGUCCACGCCCUAAACGAUGGAUACUAGGUGUUGGUGGUCUUUACCCCACCAGUGCCGAAGCAAACGCGAUAAGUAUCCCGCCUGGGGACUACGGUCGCAAGACUA
rnacentral:rRNA from 1 species